GAGAAAUGGCCACUACGUCUAAGGAUGGCAGCAGGCGCGCAAAUUACCCACUCUCGGCUCGAGGAGGUAGUGACGAGAAAUAACGAGACUGUUCUCUUUGAGGCCGGUCAUCGGAAUGGGUACAAUUUAAACCCUUUAACGAGUAUCAAGCAGAGGGCAAGUCUGGUGCCAGCAGCCGCGGUAAUUCCAGCUCUGCUAAUACAUAGAAUUAUUGCUGCGGUUAAAAAGCUCGUAGUUGGAUUCGUAUCGGUACCUUGGAACCCUUCGGGUGUUUCUGGGUGUUAUCGAUUUAUCGUAAUGUUCGGUUUUGAGUCCUUAACAGGAUUUUUAACAGUCAUUGCAAGUUUACUUUGAACAAAUCAGAGUGCUUCAAACAGGCGUUUUCGCUUGAAUGAUCGUGCAUGGAAUAAUAGAAAACGAUUUCGGUUCAGUUUUAUUGGUUUUACGGACUGAGAUAAUGGUUAACAGAGACAAACGGGGGCAUUUGUAUGGCCCCGUGAGAGGUGAAAUUCUUGGACCGUGGCCAGACAAACUACAGCGAAAGCAUUUGCCAAGAAUGUCUUCAUUAAUCAAGAACGAAAGUCAGAGGUUCGAAGGCGAUCAGAUACCGCCCUAGUUCUGACCGUAAACGAUGCCAACUAGCGAUCCGCUGAUGGAAAUUAUAUUGCCUUGGUGGGGAGCUUCCCGGAAACGAAAGUCUUCCGGUUCCGGGGGAAGUAUGGUUGCAAAGCUGAAACUUAAAGGAAUUGACGGAAGGGCACCACCAGGAGUGGAGCCUGCGGCUUAAUUUGACUCAACACGGGGAAACUCACCCGGCCCGGACACUGUGAGGAUUGACAGAUUGAUAGCUUUUUCAUGAUUCAGUGGAUGGUGGUGCAUGGCCGUUCUUAGUUCGUGGAGUGAUUUGUCUGGUUUAUUCCGAUAACGAGCGAGACUCUAACCUACUAAAUAGUUGGUACAUACUCUUUGUGUAUACAGCUUCUUAGAGGGAUUUGCGGCGUUCAGCCGAAAGAAAUUGAGCAAUAACAGGUCUGUGAUGCCCUUAGAUGUCCGGGGCUGCACGCGCGCUACACUGGCAAAAUCAACGUGCUUGUCCUACCCUGAAAGGGGCGGGUAAACCAUUGAAAAUUUGCCGUGAUUGGGAUCGGAAAUUG
rnacentral:rRNA from 1 species